UUCGUAGGUGAACUGCGGAAGGAUCAUUA
rnacentral:rRNA from 1 species